AUCGAUGAAGAACGCAGCGAAAUGCGAUAAGUAAUGUGAAUUGCAGAAUUCAGUGAAUCAUCGAAUCUUUGAACGCACAUUGCGCCCCUUGGUAUUCCGAGGGGCAUGCCUGUUCGAGCGUCAUAUUAACCACUCCCGCUUGCGGGGUCUUGGGCUUCGCCUCCGGGCGGGCCUUAAAAUCAGUGGCGGUGCCGUCGGGCUCUACGCGUAGUAAAUUUUCUCGCGAUAGGGUCCCGGUGGAUGCUUGCCAACAACCCCCAACUUCUUAAGGUUGACCUCGGAUCAGGUAGGGAUACCCGCUGAACUUAAGCAUAUCAAUAAGCGGAGGAAAAGAAACCAACAGGGAUUACCUCAGUAACGGCGAGUGAAGCGGUAACAGCUCAAAUUUGAAAUCUGGCUCUUUCAGGGUCCGAGUUGUAAUUUGUAGAAGAUGCUUCGGGUGUGGCUCCGGUCUAAGUUCCUUGGAACAGGACGUCAUAGAGGGUGAGAAUCCCGUAUGUGACUGGUUGCCUUCGCCCAUGUGAAGCUCUUUCGACGAGUCGAGUUGUUUGGGAAUGCAGCUCUAAAUGGGAGGUAUAUUUCUUCUAAAGCUAAAUAUUGGCCAGAGACCGAUAGCGCACAAGUAGAGUGAUCGAAAGAUGAAAAGCACUUUGGAAAGAGAGUUAAACAGUACGUGAAAUUGUUGAAAGGGAAGCGCUUGCAACCAGACUUGCACGCCGUCGAUCAUCCUGGGUUCUCCCUGGUGCACUCGGCGGCGUUCAGGCCAGCAUCGGUUUCGGUGGUUGGAUAAAGGCCUUGGGAAUGUGGCUCCUCUCGGGGAGUGUUAUAGCCCUCGGUGCAAUGCAGCCUACCGGGACCGAGGACCGCGCUUCGGCUAGGAUGCUGGCGUAAUGGUUGUAAGCGACCCGUCUUGAAACACGG
rnacentral:rRNA from 1 species